GAACUUUUGAAUCUUAGCCAGUUAGUUUAAAAUGAAGUAGGAGUGGGGCGCCUGGGUGGCGCAGUCGGUUAAGCGUCCGGCUUCAGCCAGGUCACGAUCUCGCGGUCCGUGAGUUCGAGCCCCGCGUCUGG